AAACUCAUCAUCAUCCAAUUCAGUUACCGCCGUCAGCUCUUUAGGUCCUUGAGGAGAUUCAAUUUCCUGAGGUUCAUCAUCUUCCUCAACCUUCUUUGACUUCUUUCCUUUUUUGCCUUUCUUGGGUUUGUAGUCAAACUCAUCAUCAUCCAAUUCAGUCACCGCCGUUAAUUCUUUGGGACCUUGAGGAGAUUCGAGCUCUUGGGACUCGUCAUCAGAAACCUGGUUUUUGUUUCCUUUGUUCUUUUUCCCUUUCUUUUUCUUUGACGUGGUUUUCUCUGAGGAAACAGCCAAGUUUUCAGACUUCUCAGCCAAUUCAUCAUUUUGAGGAGAAUCUUGAGACGUAUUGUCCAAGUAUUCGUUUUGACCGCUGAUAUCUUCACCUAAAUCAUCUUCCCAAUCAGCGUAUCCAGAUUUUUUUCCCUUUUUCCCCAUUCUUCGUUUUUCAACGUCAAUGGUUUUUGGUUUGAUUAAAAAUGUAAGCCAAAGUAUGUUUACUACUUUAUAACGAGGAAUAUUCUUUGCUAAUUAAUUACAAUAAUGAGUUUUUUAUACAAUUUCGGUAUAAGAAAUUAAGGAGUUAAAACAUUAC